AACGAACGCUGGCGGCAUGCCUAACACAUGCCAGUCGAACGAGACCUUCGGGUCUAGUGGCGCACGGGUGCGUAACGCGUGGGAACCUGCCCUUAGGUUCGGAAUAACUCCCCGAAAGGGGUGCUAAUACCGGAUAAUGUCUUCGGACCAAAGAUUUAUCGCCUUUGGAUGGGCCCGCGUUGGAUUAGCUAGUUGGUAGGGUAAAAGCCUACCAAGGCGACGAUCCAUAGCUGGUCUGAGAGGAUGAUCAGCCACACUGGGACUGAGACACGGCCCAGACUCCUACGGGAGGCAGCAGUGGGGAAUAUUGGACAAUGGGCGAAAGCCUGAUCCAGCAAUGCCGCGUGAGUGAUGAAGGCCUUAGGGUUGUAAAGCUCUUUUACCCGGGAUGAUAGUGACAGUACCGGGAGAAUAAGCUCCGACUAACUCCGUG
rnacentral:rRNA from 1 species